rnacentral:rRNA from 1 species
UACGGGGGGGGUAAGCGUUGUUCGGAAUUACUGGGCGUAAAGGGCUCGUAGGCGGCCAACUAAGUCAGACGUGAAAUCCCCAGGCUCAACCUGGGAACUGCGUCUGAUACUGGAUGGCUUGAAUCCGGGAGAGGGAUGCAGAAUUCCAGGUGUAGCGGUGAAAUGCGUAGAUAUCUGGAGGAACACCGGUGGCGAAGGCGGCAUCCUGGACCAACACUGACGCUGAGGAGCGAAAGCCAGGGGAGCAAACGGG